UGGGGAAAAAUGCGCAAUGGGCGAAAGCCUGACGCAGCGACGCCGCGUGCGGGAUGGAGGCCUUCGGGUAGAAAACCGCUUUUAUCGGCGAGCAAGCGAGAGUGAGUGUACCCGUUGAAUAAGCACCGGCUAACUACGUGCCAGCAGCCGCGGUAAUACGUAGGGUGCAAGCGUUAUCCGGAUUUAUUGGGCGUAAAGGGCUCGUAGGCGGUUCGUCGCGUCUGGUGUGAAAGUCCAUCGCUUAACGGUGGAUCUGCGCCGGGUACGGGCGGGCUGGAGUGCUGCAGGGGAGACUGGAAUUCCCGGGGUAACGGUGGAAUGUGGAGAA
rnacentral:rRNA from 1 species